UCGAGUGUGACCCCCGUUAAAAAGGGGGACCCUCCCGUCCUUUGCUGGCCUCUUUAUGGGGUUACUGUUUUACUUUCUGCUUCGGUGGGGUAACCCACCGGAACACCCUCAAAAUUCUUGAAUCAAACUGUUCUGUCCGAGAAUUUUUGAAAAGCAAAA
rnacentral:misc_RNA from 1 species